rnacentral:rRNA from 1 species
UACGUAGGCAGCAAGCGUUGUUCGGAGUUACUGGGCGUAAAGGGUGCGUAGGCGGCUUCUUAAGUUUGGUGUGAAAUCUCCCGGCUCAACUGGGAGGGUGCGCCGAAUACUGAGGGGCUAGAGUGUGGGAGAGGAAAGUGGAAUUCCAGGUGUAGCGGUGAAAUGCGUAGAUAUCUGGAGGAACACCGGUGGUGUAGACGGCUCACUGGACCAUAACUGACGCUGAGACACGAAAGCGUGGGUAGCAAACAGG